rnacentral:lncRNA from 1 species
ACAAACCUAUCAUAGUACCCACAUUAGUUAUGUACACAAAUAUGAGGUAAUCGAAACAAUGAAAUAUUACAUUGGGAAUAUUUGAGUAUUUUAAGAAUAGGUGAGGUGAAGUGAGAAUUCAUGGAGAGGUUAGUUACUUGGGUGGAGGAUUAUACUCUUUUUCUAUUUUAUGUAAAUGGUUCAAGAAGGAUUCUACCAUUAUAGGCCCAA